rnacentral:lncRNA from 1 species
GGGAAUUCAGGUGAACAUAGGGGAGUCUAGAAUCUUCACUAUUACCUGUAUUAAACACUGACAACACUUUUCGUAACCUGCCAUGGACACUAUGGGCCCCAUGGAUGUAGUUUGUUUCUUGAUACCCUGAGGUGUGGGUGUAGGGUCCCUAUAAUCCAUGCUGAUAACCCCACUCAACUACAUAGCACCCUAUGCAAGAGAGAAGGGCUGAUGGCUCAUCAAGCUGUAUCUUGUUGGGAAUAGUUCAAGUUUUAAUUGUCUCACUGAAAAUAUUAGCUUCUUCAUGGAAAUUGUCCCCAAAAUGCCAAUUAGAAAGCAACAGGAGGUGUAGAGUGAUGUUCUUGUCAAGGGAACUUUGUGAAGAGAGGUCUUUUCUACCUUGCUUUCCUCUGGCUUCCUCUUCCAUCUUACAGUUUUUAUAGGACUCUCCCGCAAAGCAUGUACUAGUGGGAGGGUCCCAGUGUGGCUUUUUCCAUACUCAGCAUCUUCAUUUAAAGGCAUGCACCAGAGCACACCUGCUCGGCACCAACCCACGUCUGGACUUUUAGACUUCACAGUGUCAUGCUCUGGGGAUACGCUGAACAAUCCUGCAUGUGACUACCAUGUAUGCUGUUUCCUGAAUAUAGUUUUCAAGACUUCCUGGUAGUAAAUGUAGAAGGUGAUCUAGAGAGAACCUGAAGUUUUUAGCCAUGUUGGUAGGUGGACAGCUUGUACUUUUAGCAGUUUUUCAAGAUGAAGCUAUAACAGAGUGAUUGCUGAGAGAUCCUGGGAAAUGUAUGCUUCCAUGACUAGCCACAGUAGUGGCAACUCUAGAACAAUAAGAAUGAGCUCUUAGAGCUAUUGGAAGCCAGGAGGAAGCACCAGGCAACUGCUCGGCUCUCCUAUUCUCCAGGAAGCAAAAGAAAUUCAUAUCCUGCCAAUUGACAGGGGAAAACAAGUUUUCUUUUUAGGGGUUUUUGGAUUGCACAGAACUGGUUAAAGUGAGAGUGGGAAUAGUAAAUUAAGUGGUAAAUGUAUAAGCCACAGGUCCUCUGCAGCAUUCAAAACUGGAGCCCAAGUGACAACCAGAAAAAUCUCUGUGAAGGGAUUCAAAGUAAGUCUGCUCCUUAAGACUUGGUUGCUAAUAAUUUACCCUCUGGAAUACUACAAAAUGAGUGAAGACCAGCACUUCCAUAAAAGCAGCCUCACAUGUCCCAUAUUCAGAUUAGGGUUGAUAGAGUAAAACUGUCCUGUGUCACAUCUGUGUUGGGUAGAAAAGUUUUUCUAACACUGGAUGCUAUCUUGUCUUUCAGCUUACAUUUUACUAUGGUGCCACAGAUCGCUGGUGUCCAAAAAAGUACUAUGAAGACAUCAAGAAAGAUUUUCCAGAAGGAGAUAUUCGACUCUGUGAGAAAAAAAUACCUCAUGCUUUUAUCCUCCAUUUUAGCCAGGAAAUAGCUGACAUGGUUGCUAACUGGCUGAAAGAUAAUCUGUUCAAAAUAUAAACACUAUGCAGGAAACAAGCACCUACAGCCAGAUCAUGGAGGCAGUAGAUUAACUAUGCUUAAAAGAUUAAAUAUUACUUUUGAUCUUUAAUGUUAGAAAGAAAAAAGUGAGAACUUCUUGGCUUAAAAACUCCCAGCUCCCUGUCUAAAAGCUGAAGUGAACACGUGGUGAAUCAUUCCAUAGCAUCAAUGGCACACUUUCCAAGACUCUGGAACACCGUGAUCCACACAAGGACUCCCCUUUGCUUAAGAGUCCAGUGGCACCAUGUGAUGUAUUUUAGUCAACGGGAUUCUUGCAGACAAAAGAAAAAUCUAAAUUUAGGUGACUUUAAUUAAGUUACCUUGUAGAACAGGUUUUUCUGGAGGAAAUUAUGAAAUACUUAAAUGAAAAUGUAAGAGAUAUACUGAAAUGAAAAUAAAUAAGUAAUUGUGAGAAUAUAGAAGAGACCAGUGAAUAUGAAGAGUGUGGUCAGUUAUGUGAAGUGUACGAGUUCACAACAAGGAUGCAGGAAGUGAUGAGCAGUGGAUAUUGGCAGUGAACAUGGAUGGAAGGUGAGAGUGAGUCCAGUCUACCUUAGCACAAGUCUCACCUGAGAUCAUUAGGGUGACAUCGUGAUCUGCCUGCAUUAGACCAAGAAUAAAGUUCACCACAGUAUUCUGGUCAACUAAACAGAUGAAAAGUCGUUGAAGAAUCCCAACUCUGCCUCUUGUCACAGGGCAGCCAGCAAGCCGUGUAUGGAGCCUUAACUUUCCAGGUGAUGGUCCCCCUGCAGUCCCCUCACCUCCUAAGCCAGCAAGGGGAGGCUCUGGACAGUCCCAGUCAGAUCUGUAUGGGCCCAUGUGCAGUUGCUCCUUCUAUGUUGAAGACCAACAGUGAGCCAAGUACUUCGCUAGCCCUUGGUGAGAAUAAGGGUCUUAACUACUGUGCAUUCUUGUGAAAAUCUCCUAGUAAAUAAUUUGGGGGAAGGCAUUUUAAAAUUCUGAGUACAGUAUUAGCAUAAAUUGGUUCUCCAUUUGCAUUAACAUUAUUUGUUGGGAAUAGGUUAUUUUGCUAACAAACCAAAGUAAGCCAUUAAAUUAUGUGAUUUCAACUUUUCUGGACACAUGGAGGUCUAGUAGAGAGAAGCAGGUUCUCUGGCUGAGAACUGUAUCCUGAGACCUUAGGAGCCAAGAAGUCCCACAGUUGCAGUGACAGUUGAUGACCAAUCAGAAACAUUCCAGUUUUCUUCUAAAGGAAAGCCCUCUGGGCAUUAUCAUGCUUUAAGGACAAUGAGAUAACUCUCCUUCCUCUCAAUACCUAAGGCCCCCUAAUAAAAGAUCCAGCUCCAGUGUGCUGCCAGCCCUGUGGUGUGUGUUGAAUGAGUUACUGUCCUUUGGCCUGGCUUCUGCAUCAGAGCAAAUGGAGCAAAUGAUGCAGAGGGGGAAAGCCAAGCUCCACACAAGGAGUGUUAUUACUGCAAGGAGAAGAGCCCUUAGAUACACCUGCUGUGGGCACAGGGCUCCACACAAGUCCUCAUCAGCAUCUGCAUGGGGCCUUCUGGAAAGCUGACAUUAGAAGCUUGGACUUGUGGCUCUGAGUCCUAUAUACAGUAGGUCCCUAAUAGCACUAAAUCACUCACAUAAACAAGAACUGGUAAAUCAGACCUACUUUAUUAAAAAGUAACAUCCACACCUUUUUUUAAAAAUACUCUGUAUUUCAGACGUCUACUCAUACAAAAUUGUAUAAUUUUUAAUUUUUAGAGCUUAGAGAGAUAUGGGCUCUUAAUUCCUGCUUAUCAUCUAAACACCAGUGAAUUUUCAAAAUAAAUGUUUUUGUGACCUUGUCUGGCCUGAUUUCUGUGUUGGGGAGAGAGUAUACAGUUUAAGAAGUUUGCCCAAGUUACAUUGGGAUUGAAGUCUCACUAUUAAAGUAAAAAACCACUUUCUUGUUGCUUCUUUUAAAGAAGGAAGAAUCGGAUUCCAGGGGAUUAUAAAGUCCACUUUCUUUCAUUAGGAAUUACAUAGAAGACAAAAAUCAAUGAACAGUGGAUGUAAUCCACUUUUUAGAAGUUCUGCCUAUAUGUUUCAGGCAGCCACAAGGAUGGUCUUUGUCAAAGAUUUACCAUCUGCCAGGUGUGUUGGUGCAAAUCUGUAACUCCAGCAACUUGAGAGGCUAAAGCAGGAGGAUUGUAGGUUUGAGGCCAGCCUCAGCAACUUAGCAAGUCCCUAAGCAAUUUAAUGAGACCCUGUCUCAAAAUAAAAAAUAAUAAGGGGCUGGGGAUGUAGCUCAGUUGUAAAGUGGGACCAAAAAAUAAUAAUAAUAAAACAAAAAACUUCUUAGAAAGCUAAGCUGUCUAAAUACUGAAUGAAAAGUGUCAGCUGGAGCCUUGACUCACAGUGUCAUGAGAGAAGCUCCAGAGGCAGUCCCCUGCAGCUCCAAUGGCCUAUGUCCAAGAUUGCCAGAGCCACUGGCCAUCGCUUCUGUACUCAAUGCCUGAAGAGCCAGUGACCUCAAAAGCCUUGAUUUUUCUUCAUCAUACAUUAUAUUAAAACAAAAGCAAUCUCAGACUAUAAGAGACUAAAAGAGACAUAACCUGACAGGACAC